rnacentral:rRNA from 1 species
AACGAACGCUGGCGGCAGGCCUAACACAUGCAAGUCGAGCGAGGACUCCGGUUUUAGCGGCGAACGGGUGGGUAACGCGUGGGAUUGUGCCCUUCUCUACGGAAUAUCCCUGUGAAACUGGGAGUAAUACCGGAUACGCCCACUUGGGGAAAGAUGUAUCGGAGAAGGAUGAGGCCGCGUUGGAUUAGGUAGUUGGUGGGGUAAUGGCCUACCAAGCCGAGGAUCCAUAGCUGGUUUGAGAGGAGGAUCAGCCACACUGGGACUGAGACACGGCCCAGACUCCUACGAGAGGCAGGGGUGGGUGAUCAAAGAGAAGGGGCGCAACCCUGAACUGGCCAGGGCGGGUGAGUGAUGAAGGCGUUGGAGUUGUAAUGCUCUUUCGGCUGGGAAGAUAAUGACGGUACCAGGUGAAGAAGCCCCGGCUAACUCCGUG